AGAGGACAGCACUGUAGGUAAACUACAAGAUGCCUUCUUGACAUUCUUCAAGUGUUUGAGUACAUUAAGGGUGUACACACAGUGAGAACCUUCUCAAGUCAGCCCAGACCUGGCCUGUCUGGGACAAUUCAGGGCUUGCGGUAACGAAGGACAAGUCGCCGCAGGGUACUACAUUAAUGCUAAAUUUUAGACUGCUUUAAAGCAGCACUCAACUCCUUCGGUGGAAGAGCUCGAUGGUUAGGAAGGGAACCGGGUAAGUAGAGAUGGUGGCUCUGCAAAGGACGUGAUGUGGGUCGCUGACCCCCUCAUCUCUGAGCCACACUAUUGUCAAAGUUUGUAAGAGGGUUCUUAUACAGUCCGGCAUCAGAAAAACAGUCUUCAUACAUGCAAAUUCAUCUUGGGAUCUAGAAAGAUCUUGCCCGACAGUCCUCCCCUGAACAUUCAGUUGGAGGAAGCUGCAGGUUUUAGGCUGAAUUUGCCUUUAUUGAAAUAAAAUAGAACUCAUUGAUGUAGACAUUCUUUUUUUUACUUAGAUACAUAUCGGCCGUGUCGCCUCACUCUGUGUGCCAACUGCCAAAGGCCUGACUUACUGAGAUAUGAGUGGGCUGACACUUAACAGCUCUUGUCAAAGGAGAGAAGGAUUUGCCUCUGAGACAAACGACCGGUGUGGCUCAGGACACGGAUUCAGGUUGGCGUGACGGACGUGUCACACCAUGGAAGAAGGGUCCCGAAGGGUUAUUGUCACAAAACAAAAAGAAGUCAGCACUUUUUCUGUGUUUCCCAGUGAUCUUAGAUGAGCCCUGUGACCCUGUCAUGAGACCCCCUAUGAAAGGGUCCUUCGACCCCCAUAGGGGUCUCGACCCACACGCUGAAACUGCUGCUCUAUGCAGCCAAAGUUAGCAGCUGCUGGGUCUUUGAUAUGGAGACCGCCUCUUCAGAGAACUCUAGUUCACAGAUAAUGGGCAGGAGGGGACAGUCAUCAUGAACAGGACAGCUUCCCAGAAAGAAGGAUGACCAUGGCGGUGCAGUGACAGAGGCCUCAGCUACCAGCCACAGGCACUGCUUUGUUCUUCCCUUAUUCGGUGAGCAGUGUUCACUUUCAACAGUCUGAGAGCAGAGUGGAAGUGUCCUCCGCAUCCUUGAAGGCCUCCCCACCCACAGGCCAGGGCUAGUGGCUUCCUCCUCCUGGCACUCGCCCUCCCUUCUCGUUCCCAGAGCAGCCAAAGGCCAAGGUCUUUUCAUUAUUUCCCGUUUCCUCCUCGGGAAAUUAUAUGAUUAUAAUAAAAUACCAAAAAGAAUAGUAGCUACA